GAAAUAGAACUGUUCGAGCUGGGGAAAUGUACAGAGAGCAAGAGAACAGUCAACUGGAAUGGCCUGACCAUACAGGGACUGGAAUGCAAAGAAGGAAGUCAAAAAACACCUGGAGUAACAGACAAAUUUGGCCUUGAAGUACAGAAUGAAGCAGGGCAAAGGCUAAUAGAGUUUUGCCAAGAGAACGCAGUGCUAUAGCAAACACCCUCUUCCAACAACACAAGAGAAGACUGUACACAUGGACAUCAACAGAUGGUCAACACCGAAAUCAGAUUGAUUAUGUUCUUUGCAGCCAAAGAUGGAGAAGCUCUAUGCAGUCAGCAAAAACAAGACCGGGAGCUGACGGUGGCUCAGAUCAUGAACACCUUAUUGCCAAAUUCAGACUUAAACUGAAGAAAGUAGGGAAAACCACUAGACCAUUCAGGUGUGACCUUAAUCAGAUCCCUUACAACUAUACAGUGGAAGUGACAAAUAGAUCCAAGGGAUUAGAUCUGAUAGACAGAGUGCCUGAGGAACUAUGGAUGGAGGUUCAUGACAUUGUACAGGAGGCAGUGAUCAAGACCAUCCUCAAGAAAAAGAAAUGCAAAAAGGCAAAAUGGUUAUCUGAAGAGGCCUUCCAAAUAGCUGAGAAAAGAAGAGAAGCUAAAGGCAAAGGAGAAAGGGAAAGAUACACCCAUUUGAAUGCAGAAUUCCAAAGAAUAGCAAGGAGAGAUAAGAAAGCCUUCCUCAGUGAUCAAUGCAAAGAAAUAGAGGAAAAUUAUAGAAUGGGAAAGACUAGAGAUCUCUUCAAGAAAAGUGGAGAUACCAAGGGAACAUUAAAUGCAAAUAUGG
ensembl:lncRNA